AGCGAACGCUGGCGGCAGGCUUAACACAUGCAAGUCGAGCGGGUGUAGCAAUACAUCAGCGGCGCACGGGUGAGUAACGCGUGGGAAUAUGCCCUUCGGUUCGGAAUAACACAGGGAAACUUGUGCUAAUACCGGAUACGAUCUACGGAUGAAAGAUUUAUCGCCGAGGGAGUAGCCCGCGUAGGAUUAGCUAGUUGGUGAGGUAAAGGCUCACCAAGGCGACGAUCCUUAGCUGGUCUGAGAGGAUGAUCAGCCACACUGGGACUGAGACACGGCCCAGACUCCUACGGGAGGCAGCAGUGGGGAAUAUUGGACAAUGGGCGCAAGCCUGAUCCAGCCAUGCCGCGUGAGUGAUGAAGGCCCUAGGGUUGUAAAGCUCUUUCACCGGAGAAGAUAAUGACGGUAUCCGGAGAAGAAGCCCCGGCUAACUUCGUGCCAGCAGCCGCCGUAAAAC
rnacentral:rRNA from 1 species